rnacentral:rRNA from 1 species
GACGAACGCUGGCGGCGUGCCUAAUACAUGCAAGUCGAACGCAGUGGGGACGGGUGAGUAACACGUGGGUAACCUCCCAUCAGAGGGGAUAACACUUGGAAACAGGUGCUAAACCGAUACUGAUGGAUGGACCCGCGGUGCAUUAGCUAGUUGGUGAGGUAACGGCUGACCAAGGCCACGCUGCAUAGCAAACCUAGGAGGGAGAUCGGCGACACUGGGACGGAGACAAGGCCCAGACGCAUACGGGAGGCAGCAGUAGGGAAUCUUCGGCGAUGGACGAAAGUAGGACCGAGCAACGCCGCGUGAGUGAAGAAGGUUUUCGGAUCGUAAAACUCUGUUGUUAGAGAAGCGGUAUCUAACCAGAAAGCCACGGCUAACUACGUGCCAGAAGCCGGGGUAAUUC